rnacentral:tRNA from 11 species
GGAGGUAUAGCAAAGUUGGUAAUGCCCGGGAUUGCAAAUCCUGUAUGCGUCGGUUCGAGUCCGGCUACCUCCUCCA